AUUGAACGCUGGCGGCAGGCCUAACACAUGCAAGUCGAACGAGUGGCGGACGGGUGAGUAAUGUCUGGGAAACUGCCUGAUGGAGGGGGAUAACUACUGGAAACGGUAGCUAAUACCGCAUACCAUCGGAUGUGCCCAGAUGGGAUUAGCUAGUAGGUGGGGUAAAGGCUCCCCUAGGCGACGAUCCCUAGCUGGUCUGCGAGGAUGACCAGCAACGCUGGAACUGGGUCACGGUCCAGACUCCUACGGGAGGCAGCCUUGGGGAAUGUUCCACAAUGGGCACGAGCCUGAUGCAGCCAUGCCGCGUAUAUGAUGAAGGCCUUCGGGUUGUAAAGUACUUUCAGCGGGGAGGCGUUACCUGCCGAAGAAGCGCCGGCUAACUCCGUGCCAGCAGCCGCGGUAAUUC
rnacentral:rRNA from 1 species